rnacentral:lncRNA from 1 species
GAAGAAAACAAUGCAAUAAAAAGGGUCAGCUGAGGGACAAAUGUGAUUCUACUAUAAUGGCUGGGGUCAAAGGCCAAAAACAUAUUAAGAUAAAAAAAGAAGAGAAGCUUCAAAAUUGAAGGGAAGCUAGAUCAGCUAUUUUAGAGUGCCAGUGUCUUUGUUCGCUACCAGUGGAAUUCCAGAAGACGCAAUAAAAUACAGAAAACCAAUGCACUUCCCUUCGCUCCAAGCACAAAAAUAAGAAGAAUACAGUGAUUUAGUUGAAGAGGUUCACCUCUAGUUGCUCCAAAGUGGCAUAUGAUCCAUUGUCCAACUUGUUCCUGACAGUGGCAAAAUCCAUGGGAUUCUCAAUCACCUCAUGGUAAUCAGGAAG